CCGGCAGCCCCCGCGGCGGCGGCACGGAGGGUCGGACGGGGCCUCGUUCUCCGUGGCCCCCGGUACCCAAACGGGCGGUCGGCGGGGCCGGGGAGACGGUUCCCCGGCUUGCUGGGUUUUCAUCUGUAAUUAUCCCAAUUACAACACCGGGGCGAGCGAGGCUGCACCUAACCCAGAUACUUGCCCUCCACACCCAUAUCGGGCCGCAUGUCUCGCGUGCUCUGAAUAACUUGAAGGGACUUGGUGGCCGUUUGUACUUUCUGGCUAUUAAGGACGGUUAUGUGAGUCAUACCGCACAAAAAAAUUAAAGUACAACUCGUCCUGUUUUUCCCCAGCAGGGUGCAGUUGGGGAUAGAGCCAGCUCACUGCAGUGCGUGAUUUUGAUGUGGUUUGUGGAAAUCCAUGAAAGUGCAAACCAUGAAUCCAUUUUGGGUAAGGGACAUGUCAAACAAAACCCGCACGAGAAGGCCAUAGCAUGCAGUCACCACACAAAAAAAACACCAAAAUCAUCGUAAUUGCAGCUGAGUGUGUGAUACAAAGGCAGCAAUCCGGGUUUCAGCUCGGUUUUCUGUGCUGCCUGUAGGUGUGCGAAACGGGUUAUCCCUUUGGAAGUUCCUAGCAGGGACUUACUGCAUUCUGUAUGUAUUUCUGGAGAUGCUUCAUUACUUUAUUGAACUGUCACAUGCUACAAUUAAGGAAAUCAAAGUUAGUCACUUAAACAUUAAUAAAGAGGAAACUGAAG